rnacentral:lncRNA from 1 species
CACAGGGAGAACACUUGCUAUUUACAGCGGCUUGUUCAGACCAGGAGGUACGGGGUAAAGAGAGAUUUGCUUUAAUAACGAGCAGGUGCUUAGAAUUAAUGCAGGGAAGGAAAAGCCUGUGAAGGGACCUGAGCGAGCCCGAAUCCAGGUCAAGCCUGAGGAGACGUCCAGCCAUGUACCACACAGGUUGUUGUUCUCAUGAAUCUGGUCACAGCAGCAAGAAAAACUACUGUCCCUCCUGUGUCUUCUCAGCCACCAGGGCAGCUACAGCCACCCUGCUAAGAGUGUUUCUUCAGUGCAUCAAAGGCUGCAGGAGCAAGCUCCCUGCUCACUCAGAAUGAACAGUCUUCAUCCUCUUGCCCCUUCCCUCUCCCUGCCUCACCUCUCCCUUGAGUUCACUCAGCUCCAGCCAAAUGGCCUCCUCCUUCCACAGGGCCAAGCUCACCUUCCCUCCCAGCAUUCCUCUGCUCAGAGCACCCCCUCCCAUGGCUCCCCAGUUCCCCUCUCCAGGCCCUGACUGGGUUGUCACCUUCUCAUCAAGGUCUUCCCCAGAUACCCUAUUUAAAGGCACAGACUCCCCCGCCCCGCACACUCCCGCCCUCGGUCCCUGCAUUGCUAUCCUCCAGUGCUCUCAUUGCCUCUAACUUACUGCAUAUUUUACUCAUUUGUCUUGUUUAUCGCCUGUCUCUCCCCCAUAAAGUAAAGCUGUGGGAGAGUGGGGAGUGUGUCAGUUUUGUUCACUGCUGCAUCCUUAGCCUCGUGAAGAAUGAUUGACAAAUUAAACACUCAAAAGUAU